ACCAUCUUUAAAAUCUUUGUCAACCUGGGGCACAGAACAGACUAAGAGCCAGGCUUGGAACUGGGAGCAGAUAUGAAUUAUGACCUCACAGAUGGAUGAAAUGUGGGACAUUUGAGACAUGGAGGCUGUUUCUGCAUUAUUUGUGAUUUGGCAUUACUCUGAGAGUCAUUCAUAUACAACUCGAUGCAUUCUGAAGGGUCUGGAAUACAGUUGGAAACAGUCGAGAGACACUUUUCUUGGAAAGUACCUGAUCCUGGAGAAGGAAAACAGAGAAGAGUGCCAGCUCGGUGGGUUUGUUUUGUUUACAAUUUCCUGGAAGAGAAAAGGCCUUCAGGUUGCCAAGGCAAAACACCUCUGUUCAGUUUCCCCUCUUUGUAGAAGAGGGAGCAUUAAGGACAAAUGGAAAAAACAAAAGGACACACCUCACCUCUCUGCUCCUUCUCCUCGCACGACUCUUGGGACAAGUCACUGGCAGUAGCUGCAG